rnacentral:rRNA from 1 species
AUUCCAGCUCCAAAAGUAUAUAUUUAAGUUGUUGCGGUUGAAAAGCUCGUAGUUGGAUUUUGGGCGCGGGCGGUCGGUCCGUCGCGAGGCGUGUACUGGUCGACCCGGCCUUACGUCCGGUUCUCCGGCGGUGCUCUUGACUGAGUGUCGGCGGCGGCCGGAAAGUUUACUUUGAAAAAAUUAGAGUGUUCAAAGCAGGCUCUCGAGCCUGGAUAAUGGUGCAUGGAAUAAUGGAAUAGGACCUCGGUUCUAUUUUGUUGGUUUUCGGAGCGCGAGGUAAUGAUUAAGAGGGACAGACGGGGGCAUUCGUACUGUGCCGUUAGAGGUGAAAUUCUUGGAUCGGCGCAAGACGAACGACUGCGAAAGCAUUUGCCAAGAAUGUUUUCAUCG